rnacentral:rRNA from 1 species
UACGUAGGGGGCAAGCGUUAUCCGGAUUUACUGGGUGUAAAGGGAGCGCAGACGGCAAGGCAAGUCUGAAGUGAAAUGUCGGGGCUCAACCCCGAAGCUGCUUUGGAAACUGUCUGGCUGGAGUGUCGGAGGGGUAAGCGGAAUUCCUGGUGUAGCGGUGAAAUGCGUAGAUAUCAGGAGGAACACCGGCGGCGAAGGCGGCUUACUGGACGAUAACUGACGUUGAGGCUCGAAAGCGUGGGGAGCAAAC